AUUGAACGCUAGCGGUAUGCUUUACACAUGCAAGUCGAACGAGUGGCGGACGGGUGAGUAAUAUAUCGGAACGUGCCCCUUCGUGGGGGAUAACUACUCGCAAGAGUGGCUAAUACCGCAUACUCUUGGUGCGGCCGAUAUCGGAUUAGCUAGUUGGUGGGGUAAAGGCUCACCAAGGCAACGAUCCGUAGCCGGUUUGAGAGGACGACCGGCAACACUGGGAAUGAGACACGGCCGAGACUGCUACGUGAGGCAGCAGUGGGGAAUAUUGGACAAUGGGGGAAACCCUGAUGCAGCCAUACCGCGUGUAUGAGAAGGCCUUCGGGUUGUAAAGUACUUUUGGCGGAGAAGCGGUAUCUGUAGAAUAAGCACAGGCUAACUACGUGCCAGCAGAAGCGGUAAUUC
rnacentral:rRNA from 1 species